GGCAGCAGUGUACCUUGCCAUGAACAACGCAGAAUAUACAAGUGCAGUUGAGGCUGAUGCGCCAGAAGACAAGAUUGCCGAGGCUAAGGAUGACAGCAGCAGGUCUAAUGCUGAAUAGACUGCACAUGUUGAAGAGGUUUGAGUAGAUAGCAUAUGAACAGGCAAGAUCGAGGAGCAAGUGAUCACCAAUACCUGGUCAUAUUGGUGUGAAGUCAACCAUGACUACAGUGUAGUGGUUGUGUUCUGGGAGCAUGCUGUCAUCUGACCAGUCAAGAAACACUACCUGAGAAUACGGUAGUGUUUGGCGAGUGCUAUCAGCGGCGAGUGCAAGGUGAUAAACCCACGUGUCCAACUCCCAGGCACCGACAUCACAGCUGGACUUCCUAACAAAGAUAUUGCCUAACUACCAUCACCUGCAGGCGUCACAGUCGGCAGCAGCAGCAGCAACAUCUUGACCAAAGGUAUCCUUGCCGCUUCCACCUUACAUGGCCCUGUGUUUUUUGCUGCAAACCCGCAUUCGCUGAACACGAGGUCUAAGCACAGAUAUUGUUUUAUUAUCGUACUCAGCAGAGUAAUGCUGGUGUAUGUAUUUACACACAGCUACAUCAUUGUCACAUUCAUGCACAUUGGCUGACUCGAUAGUUCAUAUAAUUAUGCACCGCAGGCUGAUAUGGGUAUCUGUUCACGACAUCUCUCCAGAGGUGCGUUGUACACCCAUUUCUCACCUAUUGCUUGGAUAUGCUGGUUCUAGGCGGUAUCCCGUUACUAGGAAAUGCCCACGCAAGGCUACAAUCUCUGUUUCUAGGAAAUGUUGGUUCUAGGCCGUAAUAAUUAUUAGGGCUCAAACGGUUAGUCCGAUUAACCGGUUGCAGACCAGUUACGAAGAAUUUACGGUUAGCCGAUAAAGAUAACGGUUACGCAGUAACUUUUCAGUCAAUUUUUCGAGGAUCAGGUCGUUGCAAAGUAUGCACUUUCGCAGGCUGUCGCACGCGUUUGCAAUUUCUGGGCUGUGAACUCGGUCAUAUCUGCUCACUUGGUGUGAGAGUAUUGUAUGAAUGGGCAUGCAAGAGAAUGUACAUGUGUGAGUUGUACUGGAUAGGGUACAUUGUUUGAAUGAGUAUAGUCAAAUAUACGGUUAAAAAAGAGUCCGCAGGAUCGCCGUGGCUUAUAGGUUAUAGCCGUUGAACCGACCGUUAGCUUAGCAGUUAACCGUUAGGGGUUAAACCGUGACCGAUUGAGCCCUAAUUAUUAUGCAGUUGGCAUCCCUCAGUCUGGCAUGCUGAAAUUUUCAAGUCGACGCUCCACGACUGCCUUCUAUAUUUGGAUUUCGUUGAUCUGGCAAACAAUUGCCGCUGCUUUUAACACUGUAGUUAACACACACAUGAUUUGCUUCUUAUCUGGACAGUGUUUUUGUGUGCUAU